rnacentral:pre_miRNA from 1 species
AGCCCUCCGUAUCCGUGCUCAGAUUUCGUCACACACCACACCACAAGGGUUGAUCAGACUUCCAAGAUAAGUGAAGCG